rnacentral:rRNA from 1 species
AGCUCCAAUAGCGUAUAUUAUUGAUGUUGCAGUUGAAACGUUCGUAGUCGAACUUUAUCUGUUAAGGCUCUCUGUACGCCCAAGGUGUCAGAUGUGUCUCGAACAGAGAUCGCGCUGUGCAUUGUCGAGCUUCUCGGCAGUGUUUAUGGCGCUCUACUUUGAGUGAAUCGGCGUGUUCCACGCAGGCGAUUGCCUUGAACGAUUUACCAUAGUAUAACAAGAGUAUGAGGAUACUAUCUUGUCUUUUCGGUGGUAUUUUCGAUACAUAAAAGAACGGUUGAGGGCAUUCGUAUUCAACUGCCAGAGGUGAAAUUCUUUGAUUAGUUGAGGACGAACUAUUGCGAAAGCAUCUGCCAAGGACGUUUCUU